AACCAUAGAAACCUGCGGAGUACCUGCGGAAGGAUCAUUAAAGAGUUGAAAAACUCACCCAAAACCACCGUGAACAUACCUUAUAAUGUUGCCUCGGCAGGCGGCCCCAGGGCGGGGCCGUGGCCUGGAAUAAUGGUGCCUGCCGGGGGUUUUUAAAACUUCUGUUAUUUCUAGUCAGCUUCUGAGUCGGGAAAAACAAACCCAGUCAAAACUUUUAACAACGGAUCUCAGAUCGGAAGA
rnacentral:misc_RNA from 1 species